AUAAUGAUACUUCAAUAGUUUUAUGCCGGCUCAUCUUAAAAGGGGCGGUGGUGAGAAUCCAAUGU
rfam:Peptostreptococcaceae bacterium AS15 ctg120005099221, whole genome shotgun sequence.